CUUCAGCGACCCGAGCCACAAUGGGCGAUCGGACGGACGAUCGCGCCCGUACGUCGCCAGUAGGGCCUGCGCCUC
rnacentral:antisense_RNA from 1 species